CAACUUUUAACAAUGGAUCUCUUGGUUCUGGCAUCGAUGAAGAACGCAGCGAAAUGCGAUAAGUAGUGUGAAUUGCAGAAUUCAGUGAAUCAUCGAAUCUUUGAACGCACAUUGCGCCCCUUGGUAUUCCAUGGGGCAUGCCUGUUCGAGCGUCAUUU
rnacentral:rRNA from 1 species